rnacentral:misc_RNA from 1 species
UACGGAGGGAGCUAGCGUUGUUCGGAAUUACUGGGCGUAAAGCGCACGUAGGCGGCGAUUCAAGUCAGGGGUGAAAGCCCGGGGCUCAACCCCGGAACUGCCCUUGAAACUAGAUUGCUAGAAUCCCGGAGAGGCGAGUGGAAUUCCGAGUGUAGAGGUGAAAUUCGUAGAUAUUCGGAAGAACACCAGUGGCGAAGGCGACUCGCUGGACAGGUAUUGACGCUGAGGUGCGAAAGCGUGGGAGCAGACAGG